rfam:Myotis davidii contig124116, whole genome shotgun sequence.
GGCAGUUCUCACGUGAUGCACUCUGUAGUCAGGCUCCCUCCUCUCUGGUUCCAGGUGCCAUCACCCAAGAACCACA